rnacentral:rRNA from 1 species
AGUGAACGCUGGCGGUAGGCCUAACACAUGCAAGUCGAACGGCAGCACAGUAAGAGCUUGCUCUUACGGGUGGCGAGUGGCGGACGGGUGAGGAAUACAUCGGAAUCUACUUUUUCGUGGGGGAUAACGUAGGGAAACUUACGCUAAUACCGCAUACGACCUACGGGUGAAAGCAGGGGAUCUUCGGACCUUGCGCGAUUGAAUGAGCCGAUGUCGGAUUAGCUAGUUGGCGGGGUAAAGGCCCACCAAGGCGACGAUCCGUAGCUGGUCUGAGAGGAUGAUCCGCCACCCUGGAACUGAGACACGGUCCAGACUCCUACGGGAGGCCGCAGUGGGGAAUAUUGGACAAUGGGCGCAAGCCUUAUCCAGCCAUACCGCGUGGGUGAAGAAGGCCUUCGGGUUGUAAAGCCCUUUUGUUGGGAAAGAAAAGCAGCAGGUUAAUACCCCGCUGUUCUGACGGUACCCAAAGAAUAAGCACCGGCUAACUUCGUG